rnacentral:miRNA from 1 species
AGCAGCAUGACACCAAGGGC